rnacentral:rRNA from 1 species
UACGUAGGGAGCAAGCGUUGUUCGGAUUUACUGGGCGUAAAGGGCGCGUAGGCGGCGCGGUAAGUCACUUGUGAAAUCUCUGAGCUUAACUCAGAACGGCCAAGUGAUACUGCAGUGCUAGAGUGCAGAAAGGGCAAUCGGAAUUCUUGGUGUAGCGGUGAAAUGCGUAGAUAUCAAGAGGAACACCUGAGGCGAAGGCGGGUUGCUAGGCUGGCACUGACGCUGAGUGCGCGAAAGCCAGGGGAGCAAACGGA